rnacentral:rRNA from 1 species
AUGCUUAAGUACUUAAAAGGUCAAACUAAGUUGAACAAGCGUCAUGCCAAAUGGAGUGAAUUUAUUGAGUCUUUCCCAUAUGUAAUCAAGUACAUUAAGGGUAAGGAAAAUGUUGUUGCGGAUGCACUUUCAUGCAUAUGCACGCUUGUCACUAAACUUGAGUUGAAUGUUAUUGGUUUUGAGCACAUCAAAGACUUGUAUGCUAAUGAUCCAUCUUUUGCUAUUCCUUAUGCUAAGUGUUUGAUGCAUACUUCUUGGGAACAAUAUUAUAUCAAGGAUGCAUAUCUUAUGAGAGCUAACAAAAUAUGC